GAAAACCCUCGUCCGAACUUUCACUAUGCUGAGAUGAUGAUCUCUCUAACAAGGUGCAGAGCUUAGCUGAUUGGUGAACAGUGAUUGAUCUCCUCUUUGUUCACAGUGGCUAAGUUCUGCACCUGAAGAGAAGGUAAGAUGGGAUACUU
ensembl:miRNA MIR27B microRNA 27b